CCAAGGAGUCUAACAUGUGCGCGAGUCAUUGGGACUAUGUGGAAGCCCAAAGGCGCAAUGAAAGUGAAGGUCGGCCUCGCGCCGACCGAGGGAGGAUGGGCCGCGUCACGAUGCGGCUCCGCACUCCCGGGGCGUCUCGUUCUCAUUGCGAGAGGAGGCGCACCCAGAGCGUACACGUUGGGACCCGAAAGAUGGUGAACUAUGCCUGGUCAGGACGAAGUCAGGGGAAACCCUGAUGGAGGUCCGUAGCGAUUCUGACGUGCAAAUCGAUCGUCGGAACUGGGUAUAGGGGCGAAAGACUAAUCGAACCAUCUAGUAGCUGGUUCCCUCCGAAGUUUCCCUCAGGAUAGCUGGCACUCGUACGUUCUUAUGAACUGAAGCGAGUCUCAUCUGGUAAAGCGAAUGAUUAGAGGCCUUGGGGCCGAAACGACCUCAACCUAUUCUCAAACUUUAAAUGGGUGAGAUCUCUGGCUUGCUUGAACGAAAAAUUUAAAAAUUGAAGCCACGAGAUAUUAUUGAAAUACGGAUCAGAGUGCCAAGUGGGCCACUUUU
rnacentral:rRNA from 1 species